rnacentral:rRNA from 1 species
UACGUAGGGACCAAGCGUUGUUCGGAGUUACUGGGCGUAAAGGGUGCGUAGGUGGCUCUAUAAGUAUGGUGUGAAAUCUCCCGGCUUAACUGGGAGGGUGCGCCGUAGACUGUGGGGCUAGAGUGUGGGAGAGGAAAGUGGAAUUCCUGGUGUAGCGGUGAAAUGCGUAGAUAUCAGGAGGAACACCGGUGGUGUAAACGGCUUUCUGGACCAUAACUGACACUGAGGCACGACAGCGUGGGUAGCAAACAGG